rnacentral:rRNA from 1 species
CGAACGCUGGCGGCGUGCUUUACACAUGCAAGUCGAACGGUGACCCAUCUUCGGAUGGCGAUCAGUGGCGAACGGGUGAGUAACACGUGGGCAACCUGCCCCUAGCUCUGGGAUAACUCCUCGAAAGAGGUGCUAAUACCGGAUAUCAUCUUCCUCGGCAUCGCGGAAGAUUGAAAGUUUUUCGGCUAGGGAUGGGCCCGCGGCCUAUCAGCUUGUUGGUGGGGUAAGGGCCUACCAAGGCGACGACGGGUAGCCGGCCUGAGAGGGCGACCGGCCACACUGGGACUGAGACACGGCCCAGACUCCUACGGGAGGCAGCAGUGGGGAAUAUUGCGCAAUGGGCGAAAGCCUGACGCAGCAACGCCGCGUGAGGGAUGACGGCCUUCGGGUUGUAAACCUCUUUCAGCAGGGACGAAGCGAAAGUGACUGUACCUGCAGAAGAAGCGCCGGCUAACUAC